rnacentral:rRNA from 1 species
GUGCCAGCAGCCGCGGUAAAACGUAGGAGGCGAGCGUUAUCCGGAUUUACUGGGCGUAAAGCGCGCGUAGGCGGUUGGGUAAGUCGGAUGUGAAAGCCCCUGGCUCAACUGGGGGAGGUCAUUCGAUACUGCUCGGCUUGAGGAUGAGAGAGGAGAGCGGAAUUCCCGGUGUAGCGGUAGAAUGCGUAGAGAUCGGGAGGAACACCAGCGGCGAAAGCGGCCCUCUGGCUCAUAUCUGACGCUGAGUGCGCGAAAGCGUGGGGAGCAAACGGGAUUAGAUACCCCGGUAGUCCACGCUAUAAACGAUGAGGGCUGGGUGUUGGUUCCAUUUGGAAUCAGUGCCGAAGCAAACGCGUUAAGCCCUCCGCCUGGGGACUACGAACGCAAGUUUAAAACUCAAAGGAAUAGACGGGGGCCCGCACAAGCAGCGGAGCGUGUGGUUCAAUUCGAUGCAACACGAAGAACCUUACCAGGGCUUGACAUGUAGGUGGUAGGGAAGGGAAACCGGACCGACCCGCAAGGGAGCCUGCACAGGUGCUGCAUGGCUGUCGUCAGCUCGUGCCGUGAGGUGUUGGGUUAAGUCCCGCAACGAGCGCAACCCUCAUCGCUAGUUACAUGUGUCUAGCGAGACUGCCGGAUUAUAUCCGGAGGAAGGCGGGGAUGACGUCAAGUCAGCAUGGCCUUUAUGUCCUGGGCUACACACACGCUACAAUGGGUGCAACAGAGCGUUGCCAAACCGCGAGGUGGAGCUAAUCGCACAAAUGCACCCUCAGUUCAGAUUGCAGGCUGCAACUCGCCUGCAUGAAGUCGGAGUUGCUAGUAAACGCGCGUCAGCUAUAGUGCGUUGAAUGCGUUCCCGGGCCUUGUACACACCGCCCGUGA